UACGUAGGUGGCAAGCGUUGUCCGGAAUUAUUGGGCGUAAAGCGCGCGCAGGCGGUCCUUUAAGUCUGAUGUGAAAGCCCACGGCUCAACCGUGGAGGGUCAUUGGAAACUGGGAGACUUGAGUGCAGGAGAGAAAAGUGGAAUUCCACGUGUAGCGGUGAAAUGCGUAGAGAUGUGGAGGAACACCAGUGGCGAAGGCGACUUUUUGGCCUGUAACUGACGCUGAGGCGCGAAAGCGUGGGGAGCAAACAGG
rnacentral:rRNA from 1 species